AACGAACGCUGGCGGCAUGCCUAACACAUGCAAGUCGAACGAGACCUUCGGGUCUAGUGGCGCACGGGUGCGUAACGCGUGGGAACCUGCCCUUAGGUUCGGAAUAACUCCCCGAAAGGGGUGCUAAUACCGGAUAGUGUCUACUGACCAAAGAUUUAUCGCCUUUGGAUGUGCCCGCGUUGGAUUAGCUAGUUGGUAGGGUAAAAGCCUACCAAGGCGACGAUCCAUAGCUGGUCUGAGAGGAUGAUCAGCCACACUGGGACUGAGACACGGCCCAGACUCCUACGGGAGGCAGCAGUGGGGAAUAGUGGACAAUGGGCGAAAGCCUGAUCCAGCAAUGCCGCGUGAGUGAUGAAGGCAUUAGGGUUGUAAAGCUCUUUUACCCGGGAUGAUAAUGACAGUACCGGGAGAAUAAGCUCCGGCUAACUCCGUG
rnacentral:rRNA from 1 species